rnacentral:tRNA from 1 species
CGGGACGUGGCGCAGCCUGGUAGCGCACUUGCUUGGGGUGCAAGGGGUCGCCAGUUCAAAUCUGGCCGUCCCGA